CGGGUGAGUAACGCGUGGGUAACCUGCCUUGUACUGGGGGACAACAGUUGGAAACGACUGCUAAUACCGCAUAAGCGCACAGCUUCGCAUGAAGCAGUGUGAAAAACUCCGGUGGUAUGAGAUGGACCCGCGUCUGAUUAGCUAGUUGGUGAGGUAACGGCCCACCAAGGCAACGAUCAGUAGCCGACCUGAGAGGGUGACCGGCCACAUUGGGACUGAGACACGGCCCAG
rnacentral:rRNA from 1 species